AUUGAACGCUGGCGGCAUGCCUUACACAUGCAAGUCGAACGGCAGCACGGGAGCAAUCCUGGUGGCGAGUGGCGAACGGGUGAGUAAUAUAUCGGAACGUGCCCAGUCGUGGGGGAUAACGUAGCGAAAGCUACGCUAAUACCGCAUACGAUCUAUGGAUGAAAGCGGGGGAUCGCAAGACCUCGCGCGAUUGGAGCGGCCGAUAUCAGAUUAGGUAGUUGGUGAGGUAAAGGCUCACCAAGCCGACGAUCUGUAGCUGGUCUGAGAGGACGACCAGCCACACUGGGACUGAGACACGGCCCAGACUCCUACGGGAGGCAGCAGUGGGGAAUUUUGGACAAUGGGCGCAAGCCUGAUCCAGCAAUGCCGCGUGCAGGAUGAAGGCCUUGG
rnacentral:rRNA from 1 species